ensembl:lncRNA
AGACACUUUGGCUGUCUCAGGGGGCUUUAAGAUUGGCUCUGAGCUAACAUCUGUUGCCAAUCUUUUUUUUUUUUCUUCUCCUCAAAGCCCCCCAGUAUGUAGUUGUACAUGCUAGUUGUAGGUCCUUCUAGUUGUGGCAUGUGGGACGCCGCCUCACCGUGGAUUGAUAAGCAGUGCCAUGUCCACACCCAGGCUCUGAACUGACAAAACCCUGGGCCGCUGAAGUGGAGUGCACGAACUUAACCACUUGGCCCCGGGGCCAGCCCAGGCUUUUAACUUCAAUAGACAAGCCAGCUCGCUUCACUGUUGAAACUGGAUCACUGAUAUUCUAGAACCAAACCCAUCACCAACGUCCCAGGUAAAUAAAUGACAGGGCUGUUGUUAACAAUUCUCUCUUUAUUAAAAAGGGUCCUACAGCUUUACAAACACAGCUCAGACGUGGCCCUGCAGAGAUGGCGAGGCCAGCCUGGAGGCCCCUGCACCAUGUCAACAUCGAGCUCACACGUUUGGCUGCGCCCCGUGCGGGCUGCGGGCACCCCGACAGCGGGGCACGUGGCAGAGGUAUCGGGUGGUGGCACCGCACUCUCAAGAUUCACAGAACAUGGUAGGCCCACCUGAUUGGCAUGGCACUGAGUCCUGUACAGCUUUUAAAAAGACAAUUAUGACACAGAGUUCAAGUCCAGGAGAACUGUACAGUAAUUGAGUACAAAGUUUGGUGGCCUUGCCCGUGGCCCGCUGGGACAGAUGCCAUUUGAGCUCUGCCUUGAUUCUGUCACCCGGGUGGCAGCCAGCUGGGUGAGUGGUCACAGGCUGGGGCCAGGGGUUCACCAAUGAGCACACAGCCCUUUUUUGCCAGCAGGUGGGGGGUGGCCUUCCCCCCACCCCCACGAGCCCUGGGAAUUCGGCACGUGUGGGUGAGAACCCAGAGGGGAAGGAAGAGCCUGGGGUGCUGCCAGAGGUCUGAGUGUGCUGGGGCCCUCUAAUCUCAGGGGGCGGGCUUCUCUAAACCCAGCUGAAUGCUGCUGGCAUCCCUGCCCCACUCGUGUCCUGAGGCCCAGCCAGCCAGGGGCAGAGAACACUGGCUAAGAGGAUCCUGGCUCAAGGUGGGCAGACUUCCUCCAGCGGCAACAAAACAAUGCAAAAAAGCCCCUGUGGAACCUAGAGCCACCAAGGGUGGUGGCAACAGCAGCUGGUAACAGCCCCCACCGCCUGCCCGUCCUGAGGCCCACAGGGGAGCCACGGCCGCCCCUCACUGGCACCAGGUGAAGCUAAGGCACAGCACGGGCCGCGGUGCGACUGGGCACUACUUCCAAGAAGGGCACUGCAUUCACUUCGUGUGCACUUCACUCUGCUCAGAACAGUAUGUGCAUUUUUAUAGUUUCCCUGAAUGGUCUUGUGUCAAAAAAGUUUUCUUUGCCAAUAAAAAAUAGGAAAAUUACACAUGUAGUAAAAAUACGGGGGGAGUAUUUCUUCAUAGAAACCCUCAGGGCUGGCUCGAGGCGGAGGGAGAGCAGGAGAGCCCGGAACAUCAUCUGCUGUGCAAAGUCCAGCUCGGAGCCAUCUCCUCAGGGCCGGCCGCAACUCGCCCGGCGAGGCCGUGGCAGUGGGCCAAGUGCAAACUCUGCGUGUGGCUUUGAAACACCCACGUUCAGGAGAGGAGGGGGUGACUGACGACCACCCCACACAGAUUAAGCAAGCACCUUCCGGGCUAGCCCACCCAACCAACCCGUACCAGGGGCUGCGGCGGGCGGCGGGCUGGGACACACACAACUGUCUUUUGAAAACAAACCAGAAAUGAUGAACCAUGCUUACUAGAUAAAGCUGCAACAGGAGGACCACGAUUCUAAACAGGAACGGAGGGAGGCUUUUUCCUCCAAACUCGUGAGUUCAUCAACACUACGAGACUUAGAAAUGAUACCGAGAACGCAAACCAGCGCAACCACAGGGAUGCCAGGCGGAGGCCCAGCACACACAGCCGCCUGGGUGUACACGACUGGUUUCUACGUCUACUUACCACUGACCUACAGUUCUAAAAUCAGAUGGACAUCCCGGCCCAGGGCACCGGAGCCCUUGGCAGAGCACCUGGUCCUCGAAGCCUCCCCGGUGUGUGCGGAACCCCGGCCAGCAGGCGCAGGUGAGGGAGCCUCCCAGGAGGCCGAGGGCCACUCACUGGAGGAUGAAGCCCGGCUGGUGAGGCAGCCGGGGUGGGGGUCUCUGGGGGAGAGGUGGCGGGUAUGGUGACACAAACUGUGUGGAGAAUCCUUGGGGGGGGGGAAGGCCCACGCGGGGGGGCAGGGGUGGGCACUGUGAUCCUGGGUACGGAAAGGCCUGUCCUGAGGCCAAGGCGGCGGUAAAUGGCGUGGCUGACCGUCCUGCAGGCACCGGGGGCGGUGGGGGUGGGAUGCGCCGAGGCACGACUGACGGGGGCCCGCUGGCCUCCGAGGCGGAGUAGGGCAGGGGGGCAGCGGGCACUGGUUCGGGCACCCUGGGGGGCAGCGGGGCUGGAGCUGGGGCCUGCGGAAGUCUCUGCCCCUUCAGCACCAUCUCCUGGAGCUUCUCAAUUUUAACUCUGCGCAUGUGGGCCAGUUUCCGCUUGCUCUGGUAGACAUCGAUGAAGGAGUCGAGAGGAAGCUCUCCAUCGAGAAACUUCUCUGCCAUGUUCUGGAAGCAGCAGGAGAAACCCGAUUACAGGGAAGGUCAGCUGUGAGGGAAGGCGCUCCCUCACUACCCGGUGCGCAGGGAGAGCCAGCCUUAAGACGAAGCCCCGAGCUGCUGGCUCUCCCGGCCCGGAGAGGAAACCACUGCACCCAGUUCUGACCCUCCCGCGUUAAACCAACUGGAAUCCAGUGUUUCCUUCCUUCCACCAGCCGCAUCCUGACAGACUGGCCCCGUUCGGAGUCAGCAGGACAGAAAUUUGCUCGUGCCCAUCAGGGCUCCCGCCUAAUGGCGAUGGUUAAUUAGACCAAGUAGCCUAACUUGGUAACACACUGCCAGCCCUGAUGCGCUACAACUGCG